UGUAAAAUAUGAGGAAAGUGUACAGCGUCUGUAAAAUAUGAGGAAAGUGUUCAGCGUCUGUAAAAUAUGAGGAAAGUGUACAGCGUCUGCAAAAUAUGAGGAAAGUGUACAGCGUUUGUAAAAUAUGAGGAAAGUGUACAGCGACUGCAAAAUAUGAAUAAAAGUGUACAGCGUCUGCAAAAUAUGAGGAAAGUGUAAAGCGUCUGUAAAAUAUGAUUAAAGUGUACAGCGUCUACAAAAUAUGAGGAAAGUGCACAGCGUCUGCAAAAUAUGAAAAAAAGUGUACAGCGUCUGCAAAAUAUGGGGAAAGUGUAAAGCGUCUGUAAAAUAUGAGGAAAGUGUUAAGCGUCUGCAAAAUAUGAGGAAAGUGUACAGCGUCUGCAAAAUAUGAGGAAAGUGUAAAGCGUCUGUAAAAUAUGAGGAAAGUGUACAGCGUCUGUAAAAUAUGAGGAAAGUGUACAGCGUCUGCAAAAUAUGAGGAAAGUGUACAGCGUUUGUAAAAUAUGAGGAAAGUGUACAGCGUCUGCAAAAUAUGAAAAAAAGUGUACAGCGUCUGCAAAAUAUGAGGAAAGUGUAAAGCGUCUGUAAAAUAUGAGGAAAGUGUACAGCGUCUACAAAAUAUGAGAAAAGUGCACAGCGUCUGCAAAAUAUGAAAAAAAGUGUACAGCGUCUGCAAAAUAUGAGGAAAGUGUAAAGCGUCUGUAAAAUAUGAGGAAAAAGUUAAGCGUCUGCAAAAUAUGAGGAAAGUGUACAGCGUCUGCAGAAUAUGAGGAAAGUGUACAGUUAAAGGAAUAAUACUGAUUUAAAUAUUGUUUGAAACGCGCGAACCUUUUUUAUGAAUACAUAUAUUUAUUUAACCCAUUUGUGCCUAGCGUCUAGAAAAAAGGCCUUGGCAAACAGCGUAGACCAUCCCAAUUAUUUUGCUACCAUUAUACUAGCUAUCCCUAAUUUUAGAAAUAAAUUGAUCCAAUUUUGAAGGAUGGAAGAGUCCACUGGGCAUAAAUGGGUUAAAAUUUAUAAAUACAAAUCACAAUCUGUAUGAACGUGCGUUAACAAUACUUGUGUACCAUUAUACAAUCAGUAGUUAGACUCAGUAAUUGGAUGAUUGGGAUUAACACACACCGUAUGAGAAGAAGAUGUGGAUACUUUUCAGUUGUUUAUGCAAGUAUUGUAUUUUUCCAAAUUGAAAUGGUCAUAAUCUUGGCAUCUAAAUGCUAGCCAAACCGACCCAUUUUCGCAUGACGCGGCUGUGAAAUUGGGAUUUGAAUGCGUCGAAAGAAAACUGUGUGUUAAUCAAAUAUAAACAAAUGAUAGAUUUCGAUGGUGAUGAAAUAAACUCAUAAUAAGAGCUGAAAGGUCAAGGUCAUCUUUCAAGGUCAAAGGUCAAAUAUAUAGCUUCAAAGCGGCGCAAAGGGGACAUAGUGUUUCUGACAAACACAUAUCUUGUUUAAGAUUGAUUUCGUACUUCCCACGUAUUUGUAUUUCGUACUACCCCAGGAACGACAUGCACUCGCGACUGUGAUGGAUCAGUACAAACACAUGAGUGAGCAGGUGAACGCAGCGUUCAGGGACAGAGACGAGAUGCUGUUACAGCUCGCUGAUUGGUUUACACUGGACCACUUGGAUUUGGCGGAGAUCGAACUUUCUGUUGACGAGACAGAGGAGGCAAAUAUCAAACAAAGCUAUUUUGACACGGUGACGAAUUUCGAGAAGUUGAAGAAUUAAAAAGAACAGCAAAAGCGGCAAGCCAGCAAAGAAACUCCAGUCG